UACGAAGGGUGCUAGCGUUGUUCGGAAUUACUGGGCGUAAAGCGCGCGUAGGCGGUUUAGCAAGUUGAGAGUGAAAGCCCAAGGCUUAACCUUGGAAUUGCUUUCAAAACUACUAAGCUAGAGUAUGGUAGGGGAUAGUGGAAUUCCUAGUGUAGAGGUGAAAUUCGUAGAUAUUAGGAGGAACACCAGUGGCGAAAGCGACUGUCUGGGCCAUUACUGACGCUGAGGCGCGAAAGCGUGGGGAGCAAACAGG
rnacentral:rRNA from 1 species